UCUCCGUAGGUGAACCCGCGGAGGGAUCAUUACAGAGUUCAUGCCCUACCGGGUAGAUCUCCCACCCUAUGUUAUUAUUACUUUGUUGCUUUGGCGGGCCGUUAGGCUCCGGCCCGACUACCGGCCCCGGCUGGUAAGCGCCCGCCAGAGGACCCAAAACCCUGAAUAUUAGUGUCGUCUGAGUACUAUAUAAUAGUUAAAACUUUCAACAACGGAUCUCUUGGUUCUG
rnacentral:misc_RNA from 1 species